GGAAUGUGGCUUAGUGGUAGAGCGCUUGCCUUGCAUGCAUGAAGCCCUGAGUUCAAUUCCUCAGUACCA
rfam:Dipodomys ordii contig_43892, whole genome shotgun sequence.